AACGAACGCUGGCGGCAUGCCUAACACAUGCAAGUCGAACGAGACCUUCGGGUCUAGUGGCGCACGGGUGCGUAACGCGUGGGAACCUGCCCUUAGGUUCGGAAUAACUCCCCGAAAGGGGUGCUAAUACCGGAUAAUGUCUUCGGACCAAAGAUUUAUCGCCUUUGGAUGGGCCCGCGUUGGAUUAGCUAGUUGGUAGGGUAAAAGCCUACCAAGGCGACGAUCCAUAGCUGGUCUGAGAGGAUGAUCAGCCACACUGGGACUGAGACACGGCCCAGACCCCUACGGGAGGCAGCAGUGGGGAAUAUGGGACAAGGGGGGAAAGCCUGAUCCAGCAAUGCCGGGUGAGGGAUGAAGGCCUUAGGGUUGUAAAGCUCUUUUACCCGGGAUGAUAAUGACAGUACCGGGAGAAUAAGCCCCGGCUAACCCCGU
rnacentral:rRNA from 1 species